UACAGAGACUGCAAGCGUUAUUCGGAUUCACUGGGCGUAAAGGGUGCGCAGGCGGUCGGGUGUGUCAGAUGUGAAAUCCCGAGGCUCAACCUCGGAACUGCGUCUGAAACUACUCGACUAGAGUACUGGAGAGGGUAACGGAAUUCACGGUGUAGCAGUGAAAUGCGUAGAUAUCGUGAGGAACACCAGAGGCGAAGGCGGUUACCUGGACAGUUACUGACGCUCAGGUGCGAAAGCUAGGGGAGCGAACAGG
rnacentral:rRNA from 1 species